AUGGUGAAAAUGGCUCUUUGCACUGCUUCGCUAUUGAUCGCAGUCUGUGUUAUGAAGCAAGCGAAUGCAAACUCCGUCUCGCAGUCUGCCGGCACCGUGACUAUCCGGGAAGGAGACUCCGUGUCCAUCAGCUGCACCUAUAGCUAUAGCUCCGUUGAGACCCCAUUCCUCUUCUGGUAUGUCCAGUUCCCAAACGAAGCCCCUCGCCUCCUGCUGACCCAGUACGAGGCACAGGACGAGGAGGAUGAGAAACGCCGGCGCGGGUUCUCUGCUGAUUUACAGAAAGACUCGUCGUCCUUCCACCUGAGGAAAACCUCCAGCCAAGCGAGCGACUCUGCGGUCUAUUACUGCGCGCUGAGAGACACAGUGAGCCCUGCCGGCGGGGAGCUGUGCACAAACCCCUGA